rnacentral:rRNA from 1 species
GAUGAACGCUAGCGGCAGGCCUAAUACAUGCAAGUCGGACGGGAUUCAGGAGCUUGCUUCUGAUGAGAGUGGCGCACGGGUGCGUAACACGUAUGUAACCUACCUUUAUCAGGGGGAUAGCCUCUCGAAAGAGAGAUUAAGCCCGCAUAAAAUCACAGCACAGCAUUGUGUAAUGAUCAAAUAUUUAUAGGAUAAAGAUGGGCAUGCGGAACAUUAGCUAGAUGGCGGGGUAACGGCCCACCAUGGCGACGAUGUUUAGGGGAUCUGAGAGGAUGGCCCCCCACACUGGUACUGAGACACGGACCAGACUCCUACGGGAGGCAGCAGUAAGGAAUAGUGGUCAAUGGGCGGAAGCCUGAACCAGCCAUGCCGCGUGCAGGAAGACGGCCCUACGGGUUGUAAACUGCUUUUAUACGGGAAUAAACCCAGAUACGUGUAUCUGGCUGAAUGUACUGUAAGAAUAAGGAGCGGCUAACUCCGUG